CGAACGCUGGCGGCGUGCUUAACACAUGCACGUCGAACGGAAAGGCCCUGCUUUUGUGGGGUGCUCGAGUGGCGAACGGGUGAGUAACACGUGAGUAACCUGCCCUUGACUUUGGGAUAACUUCAGGAAACUGGGGCUAAUACCGGAUAGGAGCUCCUGCUGCAUGGUGGGGGUUGGAAAGUUUCGGCGGUUGGGGAUGGACUCGCGGCUUAUCAGCUUGUUGGUGGGGUAGUGGCUUACCAAGGCUUUGACGGGUAGCCGGCCUGAGAGGGUGACCGGCCACAUUGGGACUGAGAUACGGCCCAGACUCCUACGGGAGGCAGCAGUGGGGAAUAUUGCACAAUGGGCGGAAGCCUGAUGCAGCAACGCCGCGUGCGGGAUGACGGCCUUCGGGUUGUAAACCGCUUUCGCCUGUGACGAAGUGUGAGUGACGGUAAUGGGUAAAGAAGCACCGGCUAACUACGUG
rnacentral:rRNA from 1 species